GACGAACGCUGGCGGCGUGCCUAAUACAUGCAAGUUGAGCGAUGAAGAUUGGUGCUUGCACCAAUUUGAAGAGCAGCGAGCGGGUGAGUAACGCGUGGGGAAUCUGCCUUUGAGCGGGGGACAACAUUUGGAAACGAAUGCUAAUACCGCAUAACAACUUUAAACAUAAGUUUUAAGUUUGAAAGAUGCAAUUGCAUCACUCAAAGAUGAUCCCGCGUUGUAUUAGCUAGUUGGUGAGGUAAAGGCUCACCAAGGCGAUGAUACAUAGCCGACCUGAGAGGGUGGUCGGCCACAUUGGGACUGAGACACGGCCCAAACUCCUACGGGAGGCAGCAGUAGGGAAUCUUCGGACAUGGACGAAAGUCUGACCGAGCAACGCCGCGGGAGUGAAGAAGGUUUUCGGAUCGUAAAACUCUGUUGGUAGAGAAGAACGUUGGUGAGAGUGGAAAGCUCAUCAAGUGACGGUAACUACCCAGAAAGGGACGGCUAACUACGUG
rnacentral:rRNA from 1 species